GACGAACGCUGGCGGCGUGCCUAAUACAUGCAAGUCGAACGCACUCUCGUUUAGAUUGAGGUGUUUGCUCCUGAUUGAUAAACAUUUGAGUGAGUGGCGUACGGGUGAGUAACAUGUGGGUAAACUGCCCUAAAGUGGGGGAUAAAAUAUGGAAACCGAUGCUAAUACGGCAUAAAACCUAACACCGCCUUGGGUCGGGUUGAAGGAUGGUUUUGGCAUUAACUUUAGGAUGGACCCGCGGUGCAUUAGUUAGUUGGUGAGGUAAAGGCUCACCAAGACCGUGAUGCAUAGCCGACCUGAGAGGGUAAUCGGCCACACUGGGACUGAGACACGGCCCAGACUCCUACGGGAGGCAGCAGUAGGGAAUCUUCCACAAUGGGCGAAAGUCUGAUGGAGCAACGCCGCGUGAGUGAAGAAGGUUUUCGGAUCGUAAAACUCUGUUGUUGGGGAAGAAUGUAUCUGAUAGUAACUGAUCAGGUAGUGACGGUAUCCAACCAGAAAGCCACGGCUAACUACGUG
rnacentral:rRNA from 1 species